rnacentral:rRNA from 1 species
GACGAACCGGACGAACGUUAUUCGGAAUUACUGGGCUUAAAGGGUUCGUAGGCGGCCUUGCAAGUGAGAUGUGAAAUCCCUCGGCUCAACCGAGGAAGUGCAUUUCAUACUGCAAGGCUUGAGGGAGACAGAGGUAAGCGGAACUGAUGGUGGAGCGGUGAAAUGCGUUGAUAUCAUCAGGAACACCGGUGGCGAAAGCGGCUUACUGGGUCUCUUCUGACGCUGAGGAACGAAAGCUAGGGGAGCGAACGGG